GUAGGCGUUCAGGAAGUAAUUAUUACUUUUGUGCCUGAGGGGAAGUACAGAAUUGUAAUGUCAUUCAGGAGAGAACAGGGAGAAGGUGAAGUACAGUAUAGUAAUGUCAUUCAGGAGAGAACAGAGAGAAGGUGAAGUACAGUAUAGUAAUGUCAUUCAGGAGAGAACAGAGAGAAGGUGAAGUACAGUAUAGUAAUGUCAUUCAGGAGAGAACAGAGAGAAGGUGAAGUACAGUAUAGUCAUGCCAUUCAGGAGAGAACAGAGAGAAGGUGAAGUACAGUAUAGUAAUGUCAUUCAGGAGAGAACAGAGAGAAGGUGAAGUACAGUAUAGUAAUGUCAUUCAGGAGAGAACAGAGAGAAGGUGAAGUACAGUAUAGUAAUGUCAUUCAGGAGAGAACAGAGAGAAGGUGAAGUACAGUAUAGUAAUGUCAUUCAGGAGAGAACAGAGAGAAGGUGAAGUACAGUAUAGUAAUGUGUUUCAGGAGAGAACAGAGAGAAGGUGAAGUACAGUAUAGUAAUGUCAUUCAGGAGAGAACAGAGAGAAGGUGAAGUACAGUAUAGUAAUGUCAUUCAGGAGAGAACGUAAAGUACAGAUGUACUAUCUUCAUUUAACCAGUUUCUCACAGCAGGAAAAUAAUCCUGCAGCAACAGGAAAUGUAAAUUAUUAUGUGGAUUAUAAUGGACAUUGUUGUAGGAUUUGAUACAUUUAUCAUUAGGGCUAAUCAAGUCUGACAUUUUAAAGUGGAAAUGACAAACUUCAGAAGCCUUUUUAAAACUUGAAUACAAUACAAGUUUGCAUUUGAUGCUGCGCAGGAACAGAGAAUGUUCUCUGUAACAACAGAGUUAUAACAUUAAGAAAGUACGUCUGUAGUAGAGACAGAGUAGUAGAGACACAGUAAGAAGCGUGGUAAGUCACUGAAACAAGGGUAUGUAAUAGUUUUAGAGGUGGUGGAAAUUUAAGCUAACAGGUGGAGGAGAAAAAUACACAGACAUUUCAUCAAAUGUCCUCAACAAUGUCAUUCUUUCAAAAACAUUACUCUGACUGAGAAGGCUAAUGCUUACUCAUUACUCAACUAUGUGAGGCAAUGUCAUAUUCCUAAAAGAACACCAAUAACGAGGUGAAAUGAGUCAUCUGGUGUCGAGGAGCGGCAACAAAGCACACAUUAAAGAUGGCCGACCCCAGGUUGGGCUCCUAAUUGUUUUUCUCCCUGCUGUCUCUCCUCCUGGGUCUCUGUGAUUGAGUUACAGUGCAGCAGGGCAUGAAAUUGCUCGUGUCCUUUUCUAUUCCUUGAUAACUGGCCGAGGCGAGUCAUUUGUCGUACAGGUUGGGGGAGGGGAGCUUCACAUUAAAUACAGGGUCUGGAGCCUAGGAAAGAGGAGUGAGACUCGUGCGAAAAAAUGCUAAAAAAUAAAUGAAUAGAACAGUUGGUUAGGCGCCAUUACACUACAUUCAGUCAGCUAAUGAAUUUGUUUGUAAAGGAAUGUGACUAUAGAAAAUGGAUAC